UGCCUAAGUAAUGGUCAUCCCUUCCAAUCAAUAUGAUGGCUUCGUCUGAAUGGUAACCCCUGGAGACCCUGCCUUGGUGACCAAGGAGGAGCAUACCAGGAGCAAAUUAUAAGACCUUCCCUGAAGCAUGGAUCAGCUUGGUUCCUGCUUUCUUGAUUCCUUGGUUCCUGUUGACCAUGUGAUAGGGAAAAUCUCUGCUUUCUCUACCACUGAGUUUCUCUGACACUCCAGUGGUGACCAAAACCAGCCCCAAAUCUGAUUCAGUAGCUCAUACAAUGCCAGGUUGGUGAGAUGAGCCCUCCCCUGAGUCAACAGUCUCCCUUCUCUGUUCUCAUGGAGCAAACAGAACGGGAGCCCCCCAAGGACAGAGCAACUCCUGGACCCCACUGGAUCAACAAGCCUCGUUCUUCUGGAUCUCAGAUGCCAUGGUGCAUUCUUUCAAAGGACAGUUAUAGAAACAAGCAGAUCAUUUCCCCAAAAAGGCCCAUUCCCAUGUUUACCGAUGGAAAAGUACGUCACUUAGGGUAAGCUUUCCGGACAUAAGAAUGGUCAGCAGUCUUGAUGAGAACACAUUUUAUUGCAGUGAAUUAAACAUCAUAAAAAUGGAUCAGUUCCAUUGGCAGUUUAAAUGAUUGAGAUUCUUUCCAGAGUAGCUACGAAGGCUGUGGCAGAUAUUACCCCAUUUAAUUCUCUGAGAUUCUUUCCAGGGUAGCUACGAAGGCUUUGGCAGAUAUGACCCCAUUUAAUCCUCACAGCAACCCCAUGAGGAAGUUAAUAUUGCCGCACUGUUUCUCAGAAGUGGAGAAAUUGCCCAGGGACGGGCAGCUGAGGUCCUGCUAUGAUCCUGCUAUGUUACCCAAACUGGUCUUGAACUCCUGGCCUCAAGCCAUUCUUCUGCCUCAGCUUCCCAAAGUGCCAAGAUUACGGGCACGAGCCACUGCACACCCAGCAUGCCACGUGACAUCUGAGGCUAGUUUAUAAGAAUGUUAUGAGCUUCCACCUGGCUUUCAUGGACAGGAUGCUAACUCUUGGAACUCAGCCACCAUGUUGUGAGGAAGUCCAAAUCAUCCCACAUGGAGAGGCCCAUGAAAGUGCUCCAGCUCACAGCACAGCUGAGGUCCUGGCUGACAGCCUGCAUCAUCUGCCAGGCAUGAGUGAAGAUGCUUCCAGAUGAUUCUAGCUCCCGCUCAUCAGAUCACUCUCAACUUGGAUUCUUCCCAGCAGAGGCUCCAGAAAUCAUAGAGCAGAGAUCACCUCUUCCUGCUCUGCUUUGUCCAAGUUAAGGGCUGUAAAAUCUAUGAGCAUGAUAACAUGAUUGUUUUACGCCAGAAAGUUUUGGGGGUGGUUUGUGACAUAGCAACUGGUACAGAAAUUAUUUGCUAACACGCAGGCAUCUCUCUCAAGGGGGAAAGUCUUAUGGUCAUUUUUGCGCCCUUUUCUGGGGCAAAUAUGGUUGGUAGGGAUGAUGCCCACUAUAGCACCAUUGCUUCAUCAGAGGCCGUUUGGAUCAGUGAGCCCUUCCGUGUUCUUUAGUCACAAUAUGUUAAUAUAUUUUACUAGUCCAUUUCCUACUGACUAGAAUAUCAGUUCCCUAUGAUAGGUUCCCCCCCAUUUUGUUUGUUCCUGUAUCCCCAAAACCCAAACUAGUACAGGUGCUCCUCAGCUUAUGAUGCAGUUACCUCCCAAUAAACCCACCAUAAAGUUGAAAAAUCCUAAGUUG
rnacentral:lncRNA from 1 species